rnacentral:rRNA from 1 species
GACGAACGCUGGCGGCGUGCUUAACACAUGCAAGUCGAACGGUAAGGCCCUUCGGGGUACACGAGUGGCGAACGGGUGAGUAACACGUGGGUGAUCUGCCCUGCACUUCGGGAUAAGCCUGGGAAACUGGGUCUACUACCGGAUAGGACCCUGGGAUGCAUGUCCUGGGGGGGAAAGCUUUUGCGGUGUGGGAUGGGCCCGCGGCCUAUCAGCUUGUUGGUGGGGUGAUGGCCUACCAAGGCGACGACGGGUAACCGGCCUGAGAGGGUGACCGGCCACACUGGGACUGAGAUACGGCCCAGACUCCUACGGGAGGCAGCAGUGGGGAAUAUUGCACAAUGGGCGCAAGCCUGAUGCAGCGACGCCGCGUGAGGGAUGACGGCCUUCGGGUUGUAAACCUCUUUCAGCACCGACGAAGCGCAAGUGACGGUAGGUGCAGAAGAAGGACCGGCCAACUACGUGCCAGCCGCCGCAGUAA